rnacentral:rRNA from 1 species
UACAGAGGUCUCAAGCGUUGUUCGGAUUCAUUGGGCGUAAAGGGUGCGUAGGUGGCGUCGUAAGUCGGGGUGUGAAAUUUCGGAGCUUAACUCCGAAACUGCAUUCGAUACUGCGGUGCUUGAGGACUGGAGAGGAGACUGGAAUUUACGGUGUAGCAGCGAAAUGCGUAGAGAUCGUAAGGAAGACCAGUGGCGAAGGCGGGUCUCUGGACAGUUCCUGACACUGAGGCACGAAGGCCAGGGGAGCAAAACGGG